rnacentral:tRNA from 1 species
GGUAGUGUGGCCGAGCGGUCUUAGGCGCUGGAUUAAGGCUCCAGUCUCUUCGUGGGUUCGAAUCCCACUGCUGUCA